CCUACGGGAGGCAGCAGUGGGGAAUAUUGCACAAUGGGGGAAACCCUGAUGCAGCGACGCCGCGUGAGUGAAGAAGUAACUCGUUACGUAAAGCUCUAUCAGCAGGGAAGAAAAUGACGCUACCUGAGUAAGAAGCCCCCGGUAACUACGUGCCAGCAGCCGCGGGAAUACGUAGGGGGCAAGCGUUAGCCGGAUUUACUGGGGUGAAAGGGAGCGUAGACGGUGCGGUAAGUCUGGCGGGAAAUGCCGCAGCUUAACUGCGGAACUGCUUUGGAAACUGGCGAACUAGAGUGCGGGAGGGGUAUGCGGAAUGCCUAGUGUAGCGGUGAAAUGCGUAGAUAUUAGGAGGAACACCGGUGGCGAAGGCGGCUUACUGGACCGUAACUGACGUUGAGGCUCGAAAGCGUGGGGAGCGAACAGGAUUAGAUACCCGUGUAGUC
rnacentral:rRNA from 1 species